AACGAACGCUGGCGGCAUGCCUAACACAUGCAAGUCGAACGAACCCUUCGGGGUGAGUGGCGCACGGGUGCGUAACACGUGGGAACCUGCCCUUAGGUUCGGAAUAACACAGAGAAAUUUGUGCUAAUACCGGAUAAUGUCUUCGGACCAAAGAUUUAUCGCCUUUGGAUGGGCCCGCGUAGGAUUAGCUAGUUGGUGAGGUAAAGGCUCACCAAGGCGACGAUCCUUAGCUGGUCUUAGAGGAUGAUCAGCCACACUGGGACUGAGACACGGCCCAGACUCCUACGGGAGGCAGCAGUGGGGAAUAUUGGAAAAUGGGCGAAAGCCUGAUCCAGCAAUGCCGCGUGAGUGAUGAAGGCCUUAGGGUUGUAAAGCUCUUUUACCUGGGAUGAUAAUGACAGUACCUGGAGAAUAAGCUCCGGCUAACUCCGUGCCAGCAGCCGCCGUAAAAC
rnacentral:rRNA from 1 species